CCCUUAGAUGUCCUGGGCCGCACGCGCGCUACACUGACAUGUUCAACAAGCCUCCUAGUUCGACAGGAUUUGGGAAAUCUUUGAACGCAUGUCGUGAUAGGGAUAGAUCAUUGCAAUUAUUGAUCUUGAACGAGGAAUUCCUAGUAAGCGCGAGUCAUCAGCUCGCAUUGAUUACGUCCCUGCCCUUUGUACACACCGCCCGUCGCACCUACCGAUUGAAUGUUUCGGUGAAGAUUCCGGAUAGGACUUUUUUGAUUUAUUUCAAUUUUGUCUUAAAAGCUAUCUAAACCUCAACAUUUAGAGGAAGGUGAAGUCGUAACA
rnacentral:rRNA from 1 species